UACGUAGGUGACAAGCGUUGUCCGGAUUUACUGGGCGUAAAGAGCGCGCAGGCGGUCGAUCAAGUCGAGUGUGAAAGCCCCCGGCUCAACUGGGGAGGGUCAUUCGAUACUGAUCGACUCGAAGGCAGGAGAGGGUAGUGGAAUUCCCGGUGUAGUGGUGAAAUGCGUAGAUAUCGGGAGGAACACCAGUGGCGAAGGCGGCUCUCUGGACGGUGACUGACGCUGAGACGCGAAAGCGUGGGGAGCAAACAGG
rnacentral:rRNA from 1 species